GAUGAACGCUGGCGGCGUGCCUAAUACAUGCAAGUCGAGCGAAUGGAUUAAGAGCUUGCUCUUAUGAAGUUAGCGGCGGACGGGUGAGUAACACGUGGGUAACCUGCCCAUAAGACUGGGAUAACUACGGGAAACCGGGGCUAAUACCGGAUAACAUUUUGAACCGCAUGGUGCGAAAUUGAAAGGCGGCUUCGGCUGUCACUUAUGGAUGGACCCGCGUCGCAUUAGCUAGUUGGUGAGGUAACGGCUCACCAAGGCAACGCUGCGUAGCCGACCUGAGAGGGUGAUCGGCCACACUGGGACUGAGACACGGCCCAGACUCCUACGGGAGGCAGCAGUAGGGAAUCUUCCGCAAUGGACGAAAGUCUGACGGAGCAACGCCGCGUGAGUGAUGAAGGCUUUCGGGUCGUAAAACUCUGUUGUUAGGGAAGAACAAGUGCUAGUUGAAUAAGCUGGCACCUUGACGGUACCUAACCAGAAAGCCACGGCUAACUACGUGCCAGCAGCCGCAGUAA
rnacentral:rRNA from 1 species